CCAGGACCGCUCGUCGGCGCUGGGCCGGACCCGCUGCUCCGCCCGCAUGAAGCCCGGGGUCUCGCGAUGCCCCACGCCGGGGCUCAGAUCCAGACGUUACAGGUAAAGGAAGCUGAAAACCAAGGGGGAAAGGAUCCUCCUAGGUGCCAACUUGCAACCCCGAAGUGUUGGGGUGACCCUGAAGUUGAGCAAGCCCCUGGCUGCGUCUUUCUUGGCGGUGGCUGGCAGAGGCGCGGGCCAGCAGCCGCCAGGGCCACCCCUGAGGUCCGCCCUGGGUGCAGGAGGCACACCGAGGUGAGGUGGCGGCGAAGAACUGCUGCUCCCGUGGCUUAGACAAGUGUUGAUGGCGGCCUCCUGGUGCCCAAGUUCUCACCUCCCGGUAGGAGAGCCGAAGCAGUCACCAGAAGACGCAGCAAAGGAAACCGUGAGCAGGAGAGAACUAGAAGCCAAGCUGCCUGAGCCCCGCAGCUCCUAAGGAAAUGGAAUUUGGGGAAGGCGGGCACAGCUGGUGUCCAGGGGAGGUGUGCCUCGGGAGAGAAGGUGGAGGGGGGAGAAGGUAAGGAAUGCGCUUUUAGCCUUAGUGUCUGUUAAACAAGUUGGUGGGAACCAGAGCCCUGCCUCUGGCGAGUCCCAGCCCAGGGUCCGGAGAGCUCUCCAGGCCGAUGGGCUGAGAAGUGCCGGCAGCUGCUCCCCUCAGACCAGGGCUGGGGAACUUAAAGGCCCAAGAAGUCACGUGGCCUGGCCCUGCCGAGGCAUCAGGGUGAGUUAGAUGUUUGACCAAACACAGGCUAAUGUUUAAGAUGGUAAUUUUGAAUGGCCGAGAAUGCUGUUAUAAAUACCCACAUGGCCCUCGGCAGGAAAAAGGGUCCCACCCCUGCCUUAGGCUGC